rnacentral:rRNA from 1 species
AUACGUAGGGGGCGAGCGUUGUCCGGAAUGAUUGGGCGUAAAGGGCGCGUAGGCGGCCCGGUAAGUCUGGAGUGAAAGUCCUGUUUUUAAGAUGGGAAUUGCUUUGGAUACUGUCGGGCUUGAGUGCAGGAGAGGUAAGUGGAAUUCCCAGUGUAGCGGUGAAAUGCGUAGAGAUUGGGAGGAACACCAGUGGCGAAGGCGACUUACUGGACUGUAACUGACGCUGAGGCGCGAAAGUGUGGGGAGCAAACAGGAUUAGAUACCCUGGUAGUCCACACUGUAAACGAUGAAUUCUAGGUGUCGGGUUUCUAUAGAGAUUCGGUGCCGCAGCAAACGCAAUAAGUAUUCCACCUGGGGAGUACGUUCGCAAGAAUGAAACUCAAAGGAAUGGACGGGG